UUGGACACGACUCGACAGCAAAGACAAAACAUCCCGGGUCAUUUAAGACCAUGAGCAGUGCCACACUGGAAAGAUCAGUGGUCCGCCCAGGCCAGUAUUCUGCCUUCAAAAGUGAAAGCAAAGGAUGCUUGGAGAAACCGAGGGAUGGUUGUCUUUCUUAACAUCCACCCACAUCUCUAGAAGGGCCCACUCGAUGUGAGGGUCAGAAAUGACUGAAAUUCUAAGUGGAAAUGACAAGGAAGAAGCUUGACAGAGCAGAGGAGUGUGCUGGCCAGGAAGGCUGGCAGCCAGCUGACGGUCACCCCCGGCACGAGGACUGACGCAGGUUUCAGGGAAACGUCCCGAAACUUUUCCCAGCUCUUUGAUAAAGAGUUAGGAAUACUAUGCCAGCUCUAAAUUUCUCUUUUUACGAGACACCUGGUACCUGGCUCUGAAUGACCACAUCUUCCCAAUUUUGAGUUUCUACUCAUCAAACCGGACUGGUGCACGGGAGCAGGAGCAGCGGGAGCAGGAGCAGCAGCAGCAGG